AGGGGUUAUUUUUUGGAGCACACAAGGAGGAAAGGCACAAGCUGAUGUGCAGAACAUGCAGGAGUACCCCCAGGCCUCACUCACAUCUCAGGUGUCAAAAUGACGUCGUCAAAUGACUGAAGCUCACUACAGGGGACUGCUGGCUGCUGUAAUAUUUAGCCCAGUUUUCUAAGGAGGACAAGCUUCCAGCCCAACAAGCUCUCCCUUCCUGUUCCCCACAAAACCUUCUGAAAUGGACAUCCAAGUUUCAACCAAAUUUGAAAGAGAAGCAGAAGUCCUCACAAUAAGAAGUUCCUUGGAAGUGAAACUCGGAGAGGAAAAGGCUUUCCUGUUACAGUCAGCUGCUCAGUGGAUACUGCAUGUGCUAUGGUGAGACAGCUCUCUUUGCUGGAGAAAGCUGUCUAUUCAAUGGACAUCAGGAAGGAAUAACCCCCUUGGGUAUGAAAGAAAAGAGGCAGCUCUGGGACAGUUCCAACCUGAGGCCUUACUCUGUAACCACUGUGCAGCUCACACAUCAAAAUAGUUUGGAUAUUCAUGUAUUUAAUUAUGGGGGGGUUGCUACAGCAACAUCAUGUACAACGUACAACUCCCAUCGCUUUUCCAACUGCAGCUGUAUGAACUAGUUUAAACAUUUUAUUAGUUUGUGGGUUGUUUUUUUUUUUUUUUUUGAAUUUAUGGUCAAGUACAAACCCAUCUCCACCUGACAGCUUGUCUUGUUGCUCACGAUUUAUAACAAAGCAGAAGCACUUCCCACCAAUCCCAUCCAAUGUUUGGGGGCAAGCACCAACAGAUGUGCUGUGGGAACCUAUAUCACAGACCCUGUUGAUUUUAUCCUGCUCUGGUGUAGCUUUGGCACAUUCUCACAUGGUAAUCAAUGCAGACCUUCCCCCUCACAUUUUUUUUUUCCCUUUUACACCAGGCAGCAUCUCUACCACUAUCUCUAGUUGUGACAGGGCAUAAAAUGGGCAUGAACCAACGAUGAAAGAAUAGUAGUUGAAAAAAAAACAACACUAGGAAUGGUGAUAGAGACAUUUUGUCUCAGGCCACUGUUUACUAAUAAACAGCAUUUUUACUAA